GACAGAGGGGGCAAGCGUUGCUCGGAAUCACUGGGCGUAAAGGGCGCGUAGGCGGGAUGGCAAGUCAGUCGUGAAAUCUCUCGGCUCAACCGAGAGACGUCGGCUGAUACUGCCGUUCUUGAGGGAUGCAGAGGAGACUGGAAUUCCCGGUGUAGCGGUGAAAUGUGUAGAGAUCGGGAGGAACACCGGUGGCGAAGGCGGGUCUCUGGGCAUUUCCUGACGCUGAGGCGCGAAAGCGUGGGGAGCAAACGGG
rnacentral:rRNA from 1 species